rnacentral:sRNA from 1 species
AAUAAAGUAUGUAACACCCGUCCCGCCAUAUAGACCAAGACGGCAUGUUUUCAUCUGAUCUUGCCAAAAACGUUUUCUUUGAACUUCACACACGAACAAAAUAUUGCACACAACUCUUCACGCUUACUAACCUGAGGAAAAAGGAAAAAAGGGGGUGAAUAAAGAAUACUCAGUGAGGGGAAUUAACUCUGCCCACUGAAACAUAGACCACUUUGUAAAGCUAUACAACCAUCAUCAUAACAUAUAAACUUAGACACACACAAUCAACCUAACAUGCUUUAACUUCUAAUACCACAUUUAUAAUAAUCAUCUU